rnacentral:rRNA from 1 species
CCCUUAGAUGUUCUGGGCUGCACGCGCGCUACACUGAAGCGUUCAACGAGUAUUCACCUUGCCCGGGAGGGUUGGGUAAUCUUUUGAAAACGCUUCGUGAUGGGGAUAGAUUAUUGCAAUUAUUAAUCUUCAACGAGGAAUUCCUAGUAAGCGCGAGUCAUCAGCUCGUGCUGAUUACGUCCCUGCCCUUUGUACACACCGCCCGUCGCUCCUACCGAUUGAAUGGUCCGGUGAAAUCUCGGGACGGCGGCUUGGUCGCUUGCGUCCGACUGCUGAAACUUGAUUAAACCAUAUCAUUUAGAGGAAGGUGAAGUCGUANCA